rnacentral:rRNA from 1 species
AUUGAACGCUGGCGGCAGGCCUAACACAUGCAAGUCGAACGCGUGGCGGACGGGUGAGUAAUGCUUGGGACUCUGGCUUAUGGAGGGGGAUAACUACGGGAAACUGUAGCUAAUACCGCGUACCAUAGGUUGAGCCCAAGUGGGAUUAGGUAUUUGGUGGGGUAAAGGCUCACCAGGCCGACGACCUCUAGCUGGUCUGAGAGGAUGACCAGCCACACUGGAAAUGGGAAACGGCCCAGACUCCUACGGGAGGCAGCAGUGGGGAAUAUUGCGCAAUGGGGGCAAGCUGAUGCAGCCAUGCCGCGUGAGUGAAGAAGGCCUUCGGGUUGUAAAGUUCUUUCGGUAGCGAGGCGUUAACUACAGAAGAAGCACCGGCUAACUCCGUGCCAGCAGCCGCGGUAAUAC